GUUAAGCGACUAAGCGUACACGGUGGAUGCCCUGGCAGUCAGAGGCGAUGAAGGACGUGCUAAUCUGCGAUAAGCGUCGGUAAGGUGAUAUGAACCGUUAUAACCGGCGAUUUCCGAAUGGGGAAACCCAGUGUGUUUCGACACACUAUCAUUAACUGAAUCCAUAGGUUAAUGAGGCGAACCGGGGGAACUGAAACAUCUAAGUACCCCGAGGAAAAGAAAUCAACCGAGAUUCCCCCAGUAGCGGCGAGCGAACGGGGAGCAGCCCAGAGCCUGAAUCAGUGUGUGUGUUAGUGGAAGCGUCUGGAAAGGCGCGCGAUACAGGGUGACAGCCCCGUACACAAAAAUGCACAUGCUGUGAGCUCGAUGAGUAGGGCGGGACACGUGGUAUCCUGUCUGAAUAUGGGGGGACCAUCCUCCAAGGCUAAAUACUCCUGACUGACCGAUAGUGAACCAGUACCGUGAGGGAAAGGCGAAAAGAACCCCGGCGAGGGGAGUGAAAAAGAACCUGAAACCGUGUACGUACAAGCAGUGGGAGCAC
rnacentral:rRNA from 1 species